rnacentral:rRNA from 1 species
UACGUAGGGGGCAAGCGUUAUCCGGAAUUACUGGGUGUAAAGGGAGCGUAGACGGUAAUGUAAGUCUGGAGUGAAAGGCGGGGGCCCAACCCCCGGACUGCUCUGGAACCUAUGUUACUAGAGUGCAGGAGAGGUAAGCGGAAUUCCUAGUGUAGCGGUGAAAUGCGUAGAUAUUAGGAGGAACACCAGUGGCGAAGGCGGCUUACUGGACUGUAACUGACGUUGAGGCUCGAAAGCGUGGGGAGCAAACAGG